AUGAACGCUGGCGGCGUGCCUAAUCCCUGCCAGUCGAGCGAACAGACGAAGAGCUUGCUCCUCUGACGUUAGCGGCGGACGGGUGAGUAACACGUGGAUAACCUACCUAUAAGACUGGGAUAACUUCGGGAAACCGGAGCUAAUACCGGAUAAUAUAUUGAACCGCAUGGUUCAAUAGUGAAAGACGGUUUUGCUGUCACUUAUAGAUGGAUCCGCGCCGCAUUAGCUAGUUGGUAAGGUAACGGCUUACCAAGGCAACGAUGCGUAGCCGACCUGAGAGGGUGAUCGGCCACACUGGAACUGAGACACGGUCCAGACUCCUACGGGAGGCAGCAGUAGGGAAUCUUCCGCAAUGGGCGAAAGCCUGACGGAGCAACGCCGCGUGAGUGAUGAAGGUCUUCGGAUCGUAAAACUCUGUUAUUAGGGAAGAACAAAUGUGUAAGUAACUAUGCACGUCUUGACGGUACCUAAUCAGAAAGCCACGGCUAACUACGUG
rnacentral:rRNA from 1 species